rnacentral:rRNA from 1 species
UACGGAGGGGACUAGCGUUGUUCGGAAUUACUGGGCGUAAAGCGCACGUAGGCGGAUUUGUAAGUCAGGGGUGAAAUCCCGGGGCUCAACCCCGGAACUGCCUUUGAUACUGGUAGUCUUGAGUUCGAGAGAGGUGAGUGGAAUUCCGAGUGUAGAGGUGAAAUUCGUAGAUAUUCGGAGGAACACCAGUGGCGAAGGCGGCUCACUGGCUCGAUACUGACGCUGAGGUGCGAAAGCGUGGGGAGCAAACAGG